UACGUAGGGUGCGAGCGUUAAUCGGAAUUACUGGGCGUAAAGCGUGCGCAGGCGGUUCGUUGUGUCGGCGGUGAAAGCCCCGGGCUUAACCUGGGAAUGGCCGUUGAAACUGGCGAACUGGAGUGUGGCAGAGGGGGGGUGGAAUUCCUGGUGUAGCGGUGAAAUGCGCAGAUAUCAGGAGGAACACCGAUGGCGAAGGCAGGUCUCUGGGCAGUAACUGACGCUGAGGAGCGAAAGCGUGGGGAGCGAACAGG
rnacentral:rRNA from 1 species